UACGUAGGGCGCAAGCGUUGUCCGGAAUUAUUGGGCGUAAAGAGCUCGUAGGCGGUUUGUCGCGUCUGCUGUGAAAACUCGAGGCUCAACCUCGGGCUGCAGUGGGUACGGGCAGACUAGAGUGCGGUAGGGGUGACUGGAAUUCCGUGGUGAUAGCGGUGGAAGUGACGCAGAUAUCAGGAGGAACACCGAUGGCGAAGGCAGGUCACUGGGCCGCAACUGACGCUGAGGAGCGAAAGCAUGGGGAGCGAACAGG
rnacentral:rRNA from 1 species